GAACGCUAGCUACAGGCUUAACACAUGCAAGUCGAGGGGGAAACGAUAUUGGAAGCUUGCUUCUGAUAGGCGUCGACCGGCGCACGGGUGAGUAACGCGUAUCCAACCUGCCCAUCACUUGGGGAUAACCUUGUGAAAGUAAGACUAAUACCCAAUGACGUCUCUAGAAGACAUCUGAAAGAGAUUAAAGAUUUAUCGGUGAUGGAUGGGGAUGCGUCUGAUUAGCUUGUUGGCGGGUAACGGCCCACCAAGGCGACGAUCAGUAGGGGUUCUGAGAGGAAGGUCCCCCACAUUGGAACUGAGACACGGUCCAAACUCCUACGGGAGGCAGCAGUGAGGAAUAUUGGUCAAUGGACGAGAGUCUGAACCAGCCAAGUAGCGUGCAGGAUGACGGCCCUAUGGGUUGUAAACUGCUUUUAUAAGGGAAUAAAGUGGGAGUCGUGACUCUUUUUGCAUGUACCUUAUGAAUAAGGACCGGCUAAUUCCGUG
rnacentral:rRNA from 1 species